UAUGGCCAACAGUCUGUUGAGCUGACCAAAGACGUUUUACAGAGAAUGAACAAGACUGAUCUGCUAGAGACGCUCUCAGGGACCAGCUCAGGAUUCAACACUGAGAAGAAACUUCAGCAAAAAGAUCCACAACAUGAAUCAACCAUGACAUCGGUCCAUUCACAGCUUUUAGAAACACUGGAAGAAUUAGGUUCAGGGACC